rnacentral:sRNA from 1 species
GUCGUGAGAUGUUGGGUUAAGUCCCGCAACGAGCGCAACCCUUGUCCUAUGUUGCCAGCGGGUAAUGCCGGGGACUCGUAGGAGACUGCCGGGGUCAACUCGGAGGAAGGUGGGGAUGACGUCAAGUCUUCAUGCCCCUUAUAUCCAGGGCUGCAAACAUGCUACAAUGGCCGGUACAAAGGGCUGCUAUUCCGCGAGGAUGAGCGAAUCCCAAAAAGCCGGUCUCAGUUCGGAUUGGAGUCUGCAACUCGACUCCAUGAAGUCGGAGUCGCUAGUAAUCCCGGAUCAGCAACGCCGGGGUGAAUACGUUCCCGGGCCUUGUACACACCGCCCGUCACACCACGAAAGUCGGCAACACCCGAAGCCGGUGGCCCAACCGUAAGGAGGGAGCCGUCGAAGGUGGGGUCGGUGAUUGGGGUGAAGUCGUAACAAGGUAGCCGUACCGGAAGGUGCGGCUGGAUCACCUCCUUUCUAAGGAGUUUUCUGCUCGAGCCCGACCCAGCCGUUUCGGUUGGUGAGGAAUCUCGGGAACUCCCAGUUGAUCACUCGCUAUUCGGCGCCUCGAGGUCACCAAGGUCGUAGGGCUCGCCCUCCCUCCGGUGCUCUCGUUGCGCUCGGCGCCUCUGUUCCGUUUUCCGGGAGCAUUGCUCCCGAUGCUGGCGUCAGCCAGCAGCUACGAAGACGGUGAUGUCGUCGGCUUGUCGACGACCGCUUCCCGUUCCCCCCGGGCCACGACGCUUUCGUCGGUACUCGGUCGACGCCCUUUGAGAAUUCCAUAGCGAGCACGAGCAUCUUUGUUCUCCAAGCUAUGAAGAGCCAACGGUGGAUGCCUUGGCGCCUGAAGCCGAUGAAGGACGUUGGUGGCUGCGAUAAGCCACGGGGAGCUGCCUACCAAGCGUUGAUCCGUGGAUGU